rnacentral:rRNA from 1 species
UACAUAGGGGGCAAGCGUUAUCCGGAAUUACUGGGUGUAAAGGGUGCGUAGGCGGUCAUAUAAGGCAGAUGUGAAAACCCAAGGCUUAACCAUGGGAAUGCAUUUGAAACUAUGUGACUAGAGUACAGGCGAGGUAAGUGGAAUUCCUAGUGUAGCGGUAAAAUGCGUAGAUAUUAGGAAGAACACCAGUGGCGAAGGCGACUUACUGUACUGAAACUGACGCUGAGGCACGAAAGCGUGGGGAGCAAACAGG